CGCCAGCACCUGUCGGUUCUGUGGGAGGCGGCGAUGGCUCCGCGCCCCACUGCUGCCCUCAGGCUGCUGCAGGGCAGCUGCGGCUGGCACCCCAACCAGGAACCGCUGAGGAGGCAGGGGAGACCUCUGAAGAUGUCAUUCAUUUAGCUGUGGAAGGCCUUAUCAGCCCCUGCGGAGCUUUCCCCUGCACACAGCACUCGAGGCUGGAGCUGAGGAGGAAAAUGGAGCCUGUAGAUCUUCUGGCACUUGCCUGCCUAGAAAUGAACAGUACCACAGUCACCCUGGCUUUGCUGGCAGUCUUCCUGGUCCUACUGUAUUGGUACUCCACAUCUGCAUUCUCCAAACUAAGCAGAGUAGGGAUCCGACAUCCUCCACCACUUCCUUUCAUUGGAAACUUGCUCUUUUUCCAUGAGGUAAGGUAUGUUUUACUUUGUGUCAAUGGGAAGAGUGGAUAGGCGGCAGGAGGAAUU
rnacentral:lncRNA from 12 species